CAACAAUGCUGGGCAGCCUUCCAGGAACUGAGGUUGGAUGCAAUGGGGCUAAAAUACAUCUGUCAGAGGUCUCCCCUGUGUGUGGGUCCAUAAGAAUCUAGUUCAACGACGACUUCCCUUCUUGACCAGAGCUAGCCCCCCAGGUCAUGGAAUGACACCACCACAUUCCAGGUGAAUCUUUCAUCUUCCAUCAGUUCUCUCUGUUGGAACCUCCAGAAACAAACACACAAACAACAACAUCAACAGCAAACACUGUUCAUCUUGCCUCUGGAAGAGAGACUGGAGCAAAGGCACGGGAAGACAAGUUCUUCGGUUUUCAGAAUAAGGUCUACAAAUCCUUCCAUCCAUCUCUGGGCUCUCCACACCUGCAAACUCCAUGACUCACUGGUGCAUUGGAUUCAAGCAUGGGAGGCAUUGUGUAAAAUGAGCAGCAAUUUGGAAAAGCAAGAUCAAAUGGAAACUCAACCCUUUGUUGAAGAGGAGCAAAGGAUUCAGCACAAACUGGCCUGUAAGAGUAGCAGAUUAGCACAUCUCUCCACCUUCAUCAGAGAUGCUUCCAUUCCUUCCGCAGGAGGUGGGGGUUAACACAGAGGCCCACAACUGGCCAAGGUACAGAGAGGCUGAGACUGCAGAUGGCUGAGUCAUAAAUGGGGCCUCUCUCCCACAUUCCCUCCUCCCAAGGCUCAAUAAUCACUACAGAGGAGAGGGGAGGAAGACGCAUCAUGUGGCCACUGGAAGCUCUAUGUGAUGUGAUUCUAUCUCACUGAUGAUUCAUUGGAUGUGAAAAUAGUCAGAACUUUGAAAACAGGACAUCUGUCCCCAGCUGGGUCAUUGGAACCCUGCCAAGCUGCUAUCCCUUCAUGGAGUGUGGCAUGUGCCACUUGAACAACAUAACACAUCUUCAGUGGAUGCUAAUCAAAUGCAUCCAUCUCCAGAAAUGCGAUCAGGGGACCAGAGUCCAUCUGGAUGCCACUGCCACACGAUGCAGAAAAUUUGACAAAUGACCAUCCCGGCCACCAGAACAGUUGAGAGCCUACCUGCAACAAGAUCCAUCCCUGACUGUCCGCACUGCAGAGCAGGCAGGAUGCUGUGGGCACCGUCCUGAUCUUGCUCUGCGCAUCCCUCACCCUAACACCUUCUCAACAGAACAGCAUGGACAGACCCCCUCAGCCCCUCUUCAAAUCUGCCUCUCCAUUAGCUCAGCCUAGAAAUGGGGUUUGUGCAGAAAUCAAACUUACUUUCCUUUAAAAAAAAUAAAUAAAUAAAUAAAUAAAAGAAUC